AAUGCGUAGAUAUUAGGAGGAACACCAGUUGCGAAGGCGGCUCUCUGGACUGUAACUGACGCUGAGGCACGAAAGCGGGGGGAGCAAACAGGAUUAGAUACCCUGGUAGUCCACGCUGUAAACGAUGAGUACUAGGUGUCGGGGGUUACCCCCUUCGGGGCCGCAGCUAACGCAUUAAGUACUCCGCCUGGGAAGUACGCUCGCAAGAGUGAAACUCAAAGGAAUUGACGGGGACCCG
rnacentral:rRNA from 1 species